rnacentral:rRNA from 1 species
GACGAACGCUGGCGGCGUGCUUAACACAUGCAAGUCGAACGGAAAGGCCCUGCUUUUGUGGGGUGCUCGAGUGGCGAACGGGUGAGUAACACGUGAGUAACCUGCCCUUGACUUUGGGAUAACUUCAGGAAACUGGGGCUAAUACCGGAUAGGAGCUCCUGCUGCAUGGUGGGGGUUGGAAAGUUUCGGCGUUUGGGGAUGGACUCGCGGCUUAUCCGCUUGUUGGUGGGGUAGUGGCUUACCAAGGCUUUGACGGGUAGCCGGCCUGAGAGGGUGACCGGCCACAUGGGGACUGAGAGACGGCCCAGAAUCCUACGGGAGGCAGCAGUGGGGAAUAUUGCACAAUGGGCGGAAGUCUGAUGCAGCAACGCCGCGUGCGGGAUGACGGCCUUCGGGUUGUAAACCGCUUUCGCCUGUGACGAAGCGUGAGUGACGGUAAUGGGUAAAGAAGCACCGGCUAACUACGUG